rnacentral:lncRNA from 1 species
CUCAAUUCACAUCCUAAUAAAUAAAAAUAAAUUAAAAUCAAACAAGAGAAAGCCUAAAAUCAAAAAAACCUUUCCCCUUCCCUUCUCAUUUGUAACUGCAUCUGUUGAAGAUUUUCUUCUGUUUGAGAACUUGGAACCCACAAGAUUUUGUGCUAAAAAAAUUCCUUCUAUUAACUGAGCUCCGCGGAGGCCUUGUUAUUUCUUAUUCGAACUCAGACCCUCAAAACUGUCGUCGACUCUAUAUCCUCAUUUUUCCUUUCUUUGUUCCUUUGUCUUUUUUGUUUAUUUUUUAGCUUUGUGAUUUUGGUGACUAUAGUUCCCAUAAAUAAGAAACCAAUGUUCUUUUUUGCGUUUUUGUGCCUUCAUUUCAUACCCCUUUUGAUCCUUCUGAAUGAAUGGUUCGUCCUCCCUCGAAGCUUCUUCCACCCAAAAGGUCGACAAAUCCCUUCCUCUUCCCCACACUGCCAUCGUAUGUGCUGCUUUAUUUGCUUCCCGAGGUAUGUGUCGAUACAUAAGACUUCUAAAGUUUCUUGCUUUGCUUAUCAUUUCAUUAAUAAUUCUUCCGAUAACUGACCGAUCAAUAUAAUCAUCAUUUUUUGGAAGCUUUUUGACGACAGUCAAUGAAUCUCCUUCUAAAAUGAUGUAUUGAAACCCUAGGUCUUCUGCGAAAGCUACUCCGUGAGGGCAUGCAUAGGCUUCUGUUAUUGUUGGAUCUCGUAUGUUCUCAAUCGGGUAGGUGCAUGAAGCAUUACAAAACCUUUGUUAUUUCUUACUAUAAUUCCAAAAACUGCCCUAUUAUUUGGCUUUUGAAAACUACUGUCAAAAUUAACUUUAACUUGGUCUUCUAAUGAGGGUUUCCAUUAUGGAUAUUAUAUUCUGUGGUUGCUUACAAGAAUAUUGUCCAACAUUUUAAUUUCAUUAAUAAAGGCUUUGAUGAAACUUAUGAUGUCGUUAAUACUUUUCGAACACCUUAAUGAUAAAACAAGUUUCUAUUGUGCCAAAUCGCCCAAAAUGAGAUUGCUAAGCAUAUUCUCUGUUCUAUAUUAUUUUACUUAAAAGUAUCGGCUAACCAAAAUUUCCACUCUGUGUUUUCACGCAUGGUUGUGAUUUGAAACAUCCAUUUUCUAGAGAACAAGCUUUGCAAUGUAACAAUCGCGGAAGACAUGUGCAGUUGAUUCUUUCUCUUCACCACAUGUCGAGCACAACACUUUGAAUCUGAGUUUUUGAAAUUUAAGAUUACUUAGAGUAGGCAUGAAAUUGUUUGUAAUCCGCCAUAGGUUGAUUUUAAUUUUGUUGGGAAUUUUUAGGCCCCAUAAUGCUGUAUAAUAAUUUUUCAUUUGGUCUGUCACUAUUGUAUUUUCAUUUCCCAGGAAAUUUAUAUCUCCUGUAAGACACCACUUGUAUCCACUCUUCAUUGUGUGUUCGUCAGUAUUGUCUCCCCGCCAGACUCUAGUGCCUUGCUACAAAGUGUUCCUCAGAGGGAUGGAUUGAAUCCUUUCUGUUUGGUCUUCAUCAAUUCUUAACACAUC